rnacentral:pre_miRNA from 1 species
AGCCUUCUAAAUUUGUGUUGAGAUUUCGUCAGCCAUCAGCCCAUUGGAGUUGAUGAAGCUUCCCAAAUAAGUGGGGUA